AUUGAACGCUGGCGGCAUGCCUUACACAUGCAAGUCGAACGGCAGCACGGGUGCUUGCACCUGGUGGCGAGUGGCGAACGGGUGAGUAAUACAUCGGAACGUACCUUAUCGUGGGGGAUAACGCAGCGAAAGCUGUGCUAAUACCGCACACGCCCUGAGGGGGAAAGCGGGGGAUCGCAAGACCUCGCGCGAUUAGAGCGGCCGAUGCCUGAUUAGCUUGUUGGUGGGGUAAAAGCCCACCAAGGCGACGAUCAGUAGCUGGUCUGAGAGGACUAUCAGCCACACUGGGACUGAGACACGGUCCAGACUCCUACGGGAGGCAGCAGUGGGGAAUUUUGGACAAUGGGGGCAACCCUGAUCCAGCAAUGCCGCGUGAGUGAAGAAGGCCUUCGGGUUGUAAAGCUCUUUUGUCAGGGAAGAAACACCGGCUCUAACACAGUCCGGGAAUGACGGUACCUGAAGAAUAAGCACCGGCUAACUACGUGCCAGCCGCCGCCGUAA
rnacentral:rRNA from 1 species